CUUGUUACAUUGGUGAAACUGCCUUUGCAAUAUUAUAACUGAGGAAAUGAUGACAGUGAAAGAAAUCAGACCUAACCGACUCCAUCUUGCUUCUAACAUUUAAGCUGUCCUUGUUCAUUCCUGGGCAUAGGCCAAACUAACUUUGGGAAGGAAUUCAGUUCAUGGUUUGGCUAUGAAACAAAAUCAGUUCUUGCCUGGGGACCAGCCUGGCUUUGCAGGACUAACAAAUUAGCUACAAGAUUAGAAAUUACAGUUUAGGGGUCAUGCAGCCUCCGGCUCCAAGAGUCUGAACUUCCCCAAAUUGCUCCUGAGGAUAACAUCACUACUGUAAAACCUAAGAUCCGUGCUUGAGAUAUUCUGCAGACCCUGCACUGGAUGGAUCAGCUGAGAAACUAGACCGGUAAUCUGACUCAACCUGUUCUGCUGUCCCACCCAGGAACAGAAGACAGCAAGAAAAGCUCACUUUGAUCCUCUCUGAUUCCCUCUCCAAUCUGACCAAUCAGCACUCCCCACUUCCCAAGCCUUCCUAUCUGCCAAAUUAUCUUUAAAAACUCUGAUUUUAGUAAUAAUAGAGACUGACUUCAGUAAUAAUAAAACUCCCGGUCUCCCGCCCAGCUGGCUCUGCGUGAAUUCCUCUUUCUCCAUUGCAGUUCUCCUGUCUUGAUAAACCGGCUCUGUCUAGGCAGCCAGCAAGGUGAACCCAUUGGGCGGUUACACUGGGAUUCACUGGAACCCCUCUGUGGCCUUGUCACUGCGCUGGGACACCGGACUUUCUGAAAGAACAGGCCAGGUCUUGUCAUUGAAUCUGGGAGGCAGAAGUAAAGAGAAAAGAUCAUGGCCUUUGCAGUUGAUGCUGCCUUUUGAAACAUGGCCCGAUGGUGGGUGCAACUGUAGGGGUGGAGUCCAGACUGCGAGGCUGGGCCAUCUGCAGGGACCAGCACAGGACAAUCAGGUGUCAGGACGUGGGCACGUGGCUCCGGACCUGGGGAUCGGUGGCUGAGGGCAGCCUCCAGCUGCUGCCACAGCAAUGUCACCAGGUCAUGUGUCCAGCAAACACUUCCUGAACAGCGACAUGGUCCAGUACUGGGAAGAAGAGGUGGAUGUGGCCCACUGCUGCCCCUUACAGAGGUCCCAGCUGGCAGGGGCGUCAGCAACAUCAAUAAAACCGUACUGGGUGCUUGAGAAUGUUGUGUGAGGCAGUGCUGCCAACCCUGACUCACCUCCCUGCCACCUGAGACAUCUCCAAAAGUAUCACCCUGGGCCAGCUCUAAUUCAGUCACUGCUUGACAACUGCACCUUGGGCAAUGACUGGUGAAUGGAAACUAUGCUCCGUUUCCUCAGGCUUUAACUCUGUGCCAGGCACUGUCCAAGGUGCUUUAAAAAUAUUCACUCAAACCAACCCCAGGGGCUGGGCACUGUCAUUAUUCCCAUUUACAUAUGAGGGAAGCUGAGGCACGGAGAAGCUCAGGAACGUGCCCACAGCAGUGAGUUGCAGAGCCGGGAUCUUAGCCCGGGUGGUCUGGCUCUGAGGCCAGAGGCUGCCUGGAGAGGCGCCCACAGAUUUGCCCCCCGGCAAGGGCACCUCAGUGGACUCCAGGCUUCCAGGACUCUGAUUCCAGAUCCUUCCUGCCUCAGAAAAUCAACAAAGACAUGCAUGCUUCAGGCCUGCAGAGCUGCUCACAGCUAUGGAACCAGAAGGGCCUUCCCAAUCUGCUGUGCUUAACCCUGAAGUGGACCAGCCCAGGGACCUGGGAAAGUGAGGGUGUCCCUGCUGUGGGGGAAAAGGGCUAGGACUUUGGUCUUUCACAAGUGGAUAAAAUUAGGGAAAAUUCAACACUGACGUUGAUUUCAGGUCUUGGAAAACCAAGCCAGUGAGCUGAAAGUGUCCACCUGAUGCGGAUGGGUAAAAGCGAGCAUAAUUCCAGCCAGGCUGUGAGCUGUCCGCGCUUAACUAGCGAGCCAGCGUCAAGGGGUUAAGACUCUGGCAGGUCUCAUUUGAUGAUGACAAUGAAGUCUAUAAACACGCAGGAUGUGAUGAUAGAGCAGUGACACUGCCGUCCGUGUGGCAUGUGGACGCCGGCUCCCUCCCUCUCUCCACGUGGGCUCUGCUCCUCAGUUUGCUCCUCAGGCCCAGGCCCCAGCUUAGGCCCUGCAGCCUUUGUAAUGCUUUCAGGGUUUGGCAUGAGCACCCUGUCCUCACAGCCUGCUGGGGAGAGGGUAGGAGAGGUAUGGGGUAGGGGUGGGCUGUAUUAGUUCAUUCUCGCAUUGUUAUAAAGAACUACCUGAGACUGGGUAAAUUUAUAAAUAAAAGAGGUUUAACUGGCUCAUGGUUCCACAGGCUGUACAGGAAGCAUGACGGCUUCUGGGGAGGCCUCGGGAAACUUACAAACAUGGCGGAAGGUGAAGGGGAAGCAGGCACGUCCUACACGACUGGAGCAGGAAGGAGAGAGCGAAGGGGAAAGUGCCACAUACUUUUAAAUAACCAGAUUUCGUGAGAACUCAUGAGACAGCACCAGGGGGACAGUGCUAAACCAUUAGAAGCCACCCCCACGAUCCAAUCACCUCCCACCAGGCCCCACCUCCAACACUGGGGAUUACAAUUCAACAUGAGAUUUGGUUGGGGACACAGAUUCAAACCAUGUCAUGGGUAAUAACAAGAGUCUGGGUCCAUUGCUAUGACUUACCUUUGACCUCUAGCGGGGAGCAAGGCUCUUUGGGGAGCAAGGGCUCUAGGGGGCUGAGACUGGAAGAAAUCCAAAGCUAGGGUGGCUCUGAGUCCAGGUGGCUCUGGACUUCUUACAAGCCAGUCCUCAUCACUCCAACCCUCUGUUGUUAUAAUAGUAAUAAUAUUCCUUAUAGAAUAAUAAUCCUUUAUAUUAAAUUCUCUCUGUUCACAUUACAGUGUGGUUUCAAUCUCUUGGUUGGACCCUGAUAAAGCCUACAUAAACUGUCUCAUUCCUGGCUUGGUACAGGCUGUUCCCAUGGCCAGUUUCACUUGCCUAAGUGAAGGUGGAGUGGUUAAGGGCACAGGCAUUAGAGCCAGACUGCCUGGGUUCAGUUCCCAAGCCCAGCACUGGCUGGUGAGAAGCCAUUCGACUUCUUUAUGCCUUGAUUUCCCUACCUGUAAGAUGGGGAUAAUAGGAUUGUUGUGGAAAUUUUAUGAGUUCUUAUAUGUAAAGCACUUGGCACAAAAUAAGUGUUAAAUAAGUGUUUGGUAUUAUUGUUGUUGACUUCCUUCCAUUCACUCGUAGGGGUUUCAGCAACAGGGUCACCUCUCCUGGGAAGUCCUCCCUGACUACCUCCCAUCCCAGCUGAGUUGGCUGCCCUCCUCCUAUGCUCCCUCACACAUCUUCACAGCACUGAACUCACGUGUUGUCACUGCAGGUGUACUUGUCAGUCUCUUCGGUAGAACUCUGAGCUGGCUGAGGGUACUCACAGCAAGUGUCCCCAGGACCUCACACUGCACCUGACUGAGUGAGGAGUAACCGUGUUAGUGGAGGUCCUCUGAGAACCAGACACAAAGACAGGAUUGCAUGAGUAAGAGCCAUAUUGGGGGAACCGCCUGUGAAGGACAAAGAAGGAGGGGAUAGAAGGCAGGGAGAUCCUUCAGACCACAGUACAGGUGUGACAUCUGUGGAGGAGUGGGGAGGAUGGGCCUCAGACUUCAGAGCAGUUCUGAGAAAGGCUUGCCCAGGCCACUGGGGAGUUCUCGAGCCACAGUCACCUACUGGAGGAGUCCCACGAUCCACUUGCAGCAGUACUGUCCCCACGCUCCAUCGCUGGUGGAAAGCAGCCUGUGGAGGCAAAGCAUGGGUGGACGGAGAGAAACAGCAGCUGGGGCUGUCAGUCAAAUCCGCUCCGCAGCAGGUCUGAGUGGCACAUUUUCAUGGGCACCACAGUAACCGACAGACAGAAGGCUGGCCAUGCCCCAAGAAUGCAGGGCCAGAAGCAGGGAUGCCAGAAUCUGUCACCUUGAUGCAGGGAGAGGGUGGAGGUCCAGGGUACCUCUGAGUAGGCCUUCAUGCUUACACACAGUCACACGCUGCAUGAUGACAUUCAGUCGGCGAGGAACCACGUAUAUGACAGUGUCCCAUGAGAUUAAUACUACUGUAUUUUUACUUUUCUAUGUUUUGAUACACAAAUCCUCACCAUUGCGUUACAGCUACCCACAGUAUUCAGCACAACAACGUGCUUUACAGGUUUGGGGCCCAGUAGCAAAGGUGACACCAUCUAGCCUGGGUGUGUAGGAGGCUGUGCCAUCCAGGUUUGUGUAAGUACACUAUGAUGUUCACACAAAGAUGGAAUUGCCUUCCAAGGCAUUUCUCAGAACAUAUCCCUGUCGUUAAGUGAUGCGUGACCGUAAAUAUAUAUAGUGCUAAGUCCUUAUUAUUUGAAUUCAUAAAAUCACUUAAAAUUCCCCUAUAACACAACUACUUUACAUUUUGUGAAUUUCCUCCUAGGUUUUACCAUGUUUACAUUAUUGCAAUCACCAUGCAGAUUGUACCUCAUUUUUAAAAAAAGAUUUGAUAUUUAUAACUAGUAUUUCCCCAUGCUUCUACUGUAGUCUUCAUAAUUAUACUUUUUAAUGGCUGAAAAUGUUCAACAAGUGGAUACUUCCAAAGUCACUGCUAUUCAACAUUUCCAUUAUUGUCAUUUUGUUGUAUUUAUAUCUAAUGCUUUUAUGUACCUCUUUGGGCAUGUAGUAUUCAGUUUCUAUGGGGUUACAGCCCUAGGAAAUACAUAGGUUUGAAAUUACUGGGUCAAAAGAUAAACUUUUAUGAUUGUAUCAAGUUUUGCCAAAUUGCUUUCCAAAAACAUUAUGCCAGUUAAUAAAGAGUAUGAGUUAUCUAUUUCUGCAUACCAAGUUACCACACCAAAUGGCUUACUACAACAUGGAUUUAUUGUCUUCUUGUUUCUGUGGGUCAGGAAUCCAGGCACAGGUUAGCUGCUUCUCUGCUCCAGGGGCUCUCAAGGCUGCAGUGAAGGUGCUGGCUGAGGCUGGGGUGCUAUGAUUUGGCUUUGUGUCCCCACCCACAUCUCAUCUUGAAUUGUAAUCCCAUAAUCCCUAUGUAUCACGGGAGGGACCUGGUAGGAGGUAACUGAAUCAUGGGGAUGGUUUCCCCAUGCUGUUCUCAUGAUAGCGAGUGAGUUCUCAAGAGAUCUGAUGAUUUUCUACUUCCAUUUUCCCUGCUGACACUCAUUCUCUCUCCUGUUGCCCUGUGAAAAGGUGCUUUCUGCCAUGAUUGUAAGUUUCCUGAGGCCUCCCCAGCCAUGUGGAACUGUGAGUUAAUUAAACCUCUUUUCUUUAUAAAUCACACAGUUUUGGGUAUUUCUUCAUAGCAGCAUGAGAAUGGAUUAAUACAUGCAGUCUCAUCUGAAAGCUUGAGUAGGGAAGGAUUCUAUUCCAGGCUCACACGGUUCUUGGUAGGAUUCAGUGCCUUGUGGCCCAAGGGCCCCAGCUGUUAGCUGGCUGUUUGCUCAGAGGCUGCCUUUAGUUCCUCGCCAUGUGGGUCUCUCCAACAUGGCAACGUGCUUCAAGAUAAAACAUGUGAAGCCAAGAAGACAAGGGCCUCUUAGCAAGACAGAAGUCAUAAUCUGUUGUAAUCUAAUCACUGAGGUGAUAUACCCUCAAUGUAUAUCUGUAUUCUAUUGUUUAGAACCAAGAGGAGCAAGGGGAGUGGAUUAUGAACCAGGGCCAAAAAUAUUAGGACCAGGGAUCAUUAGGGUCAUCUUAAAAGCUGCCUAACACAAAUGUCACCAAGGGCAUAUGCUUGUAUCAAUUUUACUACAACCUUACUAACACUUAAUGCUUUAGUAUUUUAAAAUUACCAGUAUGGGCCAGGUGAAGUGACUCACGCCUGUAAUCCCAGCACUUUG
rnacentral:lncRNA from 1 species